rnacentral:rRNA from 1 species
UACGUAGGGUGCAAGCGUUAAUCGGAAUUACUGGGCGUAAAGCGUGCGCAGGCGGUUUUGUAAGUCUGACGUGAAAUCCCCGGGCUCAACCUGGGAAUGGCAUUGGUGACUGCACGGCUAGAGUGUGUCAGAGGGGGGUAGAAUUCCACGUGUAGCAGUGAAAUGCGUAGAGAUGUGGAGGAAUACCGAUGGCGAAGGCAGCCCCCUGGGAUAACACUGACGCUCAUGCACGAAAGCGUGGGGAGCAAACAGG